rnacentral:lncRNA from 1 species
CACAGAGGGACUGGAGGAGGGCAUGCCUAGGGGGAGACCCGGUGUUAACAAGGUCCAGAGCACAGAACAUAGGGGAAGACACAGACGGUCCAUCUGGCUGAAUUUGAAGGGUCUGAGAAGCACAGUAGAAGAAAAGGUAGGAGAAUCGAUACAGAUCUGCCGUGGCAUCCCUGUGGAUGACCUUGGUUUUUUUGUUUUUGUUUUUGUUUUGUUUUAAGAUUGCAAGCAACAAGGAUACUUGACUUACCUUAAGUGAAGGGGGUUGAAUCUACUAAGACAAUGAGGGGGUACUUCAGCAAGAGAACAUAGCCCUGCCUCUAAGAAAAGUUGGGACAGGCACGUCACCAAGCUCUAGAGAUAGGCACACACCGUGAAAACUGAGUGCUUUAAAAUAGAGCUACUUAGAGACGUUAAGGUCUAGUAAAGCCAACAGAUCAGGCAGAGACGGCCGUUGGGAUUUUAGUUUAUUACUCACAGUUCCCAAGAGGACAGGGGGUGCCAUGCUUUGGGGACCACUUUCUCACCAGGGUGAGAGGAAGGGUGGGGAACCGCGGGCAGGAGCCCAAGGCAGAGGUGGGAAGGGGGAUGCAAGUUGAGCAGGCCCAGGAUUUGUAGGUCGAAUACUUCGCAUGGGACCCGGAGUGUAGGGGCUACGCCUAGUCUGAUUCUGGCCUGGGGAUGAUUAGGGCAGGUCCGCAGUGGUCCUGAGAGUAGUAGGGGUAGGGACUCUGGAUUUGUUGGUUUGCUUCUGAAAGGCAUGCUUGGGUGGCGGUGGGGAAUGCAAGCCAUUGCCAUCUCUAAGACUGACUACUCUUGGGACAAGCAGUCCCUGUCAGGUCAGUGAGGCCCCAGAUCUCAAAGCAUCAGAAUACAGAAAAUGGUCAUGGUCAACACUGUGGAGAUCAGUUCAGGACACAGCCAUCUUGUUGUUAUCCCCAUGACUGCCACGGCAGUGCCCAGAUUGGGUGACUCAUCCUCAGCCCCUCCCCGACUCUCCUCUGUGCUCCCAUCUGGAGUGAGACUCCCAGGAGAGGAUCAGAUUGAUUCUGAGGCUCAUCCAGCCCUGGCUGUUCUUGGGCAGCCCUUGAUGUCAGGCCCCAUGCUGGCUGCCUAGGAAUCAGAUGCCCCCUCGUGGUCUAAUCAGUUUAAUAGUGAGUCUCAUGGCUUGGCAAGCCAUGCUCAGAGCCCCUGGUGGUGGGGGAGGUCCAGGUGGGGAGACCCUUCUGAGGAUUCCAAGAAGGAGGAAACACAACCGGCCAGCCCUUCACAUGGCCCUUCCCACACAAAGCUUUUGGAAACCAGGAAUUGAGUCUGGAUUACAACCGUAGAUGUCCCCAAGGAUUCUAAACAGGGUGGUGACAGAAGAUGAACUUGGCAAUAAUUUGGGGGAUGCAUUGGAGAGGAAGAUCCUAGAAACGGGAGGACUCACCAGGAUCGAAUAAGGUCCUCGUGAUCCUGGCACCCGGAGUGAGUGGUGGCCAUGGAUUGGAGAAGAAGGCUCUUUUCCAGAGACAGGCCACAGGGAGCAUUGACAGGGCUUAGUAACUGACCAACCAAGGAGGAAGGGCAACACUGAGGUUGCGAGCCUGGGGAUGGGAAGGAAGGGGCCUCCCUGACAGAAACAGCCAAGCAUGAGAAGGGCACAGACAGCAGGGUAUCCAGUCUAGACAUCUAAACCAUAUCAGGAGGUGGAUCCUGACAGUCCCCAACCCUUGCUGAGUAGGAAACACUGGCUGUGGCCAUGAGACCCACCUCUGUCCAACUGGGAGCUUUAAAGGAUGAAAACGUGACUCUCUAUCCAUCCCUCUGUUGAAGGGCACCUGGGUUGGUUCCACGGCUUGGCUACUGUGAGUGGAGCUGCUAUAAACACUGACGUGGCUGCGUCAUUAUAAUCUGCUGAUACUAAGUCCUUCGGAUAUAAACCUAGGAGUGGAAGUUACUCAGCCAUAAGGAAGAAUGAAAUUAUGGCAUUUCCCAGUAAAUGGAUAGAACUGGAGAAUAUUGUGCUAAGUGAAAUAAGCCAAUCUCAAAAAGCCAAAGGCCUAAAGUCUCUUUGAUAUAAAAAAUGGGACCCUAAUUGUUAUAUUCCAUGUAAUGUAUAAUGUCAAAAUACUCUUACUGUCAUGUAGCUCUAAAAAGAACAAAUAAAAAAGGGGGAAAAACAUAACUCUCAUGCAAAUGUAUACUGAGCACCUGACACAGACUUGCUUUGCUGACUGACGAGGGGCCAACUGGAAAGCCCAGCUCAGAGAGGAUUGUGGAACAGGCGCUUGUAUGUUUCCUUGGGAAAGGAAUGUGGAAGUAAGUUUGCUAAGCUAGAUAGACAAAAAGAUUUACUGUCCUACAGGGCUGUAAAACUAUCCUUUUAAGCUCUUUUUCUAUUGGGCAGAAAUGUUUGCAUCUCUAAUGGACAAAAAAUAAUUUGCAACUUAACAAUCUUUUACAAGUUAAUGUCUAACUCUGCACUGUUUGGUCCCUACUCACUAGUUAAUUGUAGGCACAGUUCCCUAGAAAGCUAUGUCAUUAGAGGCUGGGGCUAUAGAUAGCUCAGUUGAUAGAGUGCUUGCUUUGCAUGUGCAAGGCCCUGGGUUAAAAAAAAAAAAAAAAAAAAAAAAAANAGGACUGGGAGCAGUGUCCAUGCUGUGAGCUAGGCCCUUUUGCCUGGGCCUCUUAGACAACUUCCAGAAUGAUACUGAAAGGCCCCGCAGUUAUCCUUUAGCUUUAUUUCUAAGUUUUGGUUAAGUUCUAACUUCUCCAUCCUGCUUUAAGCGGUUAGAUCUCAAUUCAAGCCAAAAUAAACCUUUCCAUUUUAUAAUUUGAUUAUCUUACAUAUUUUGUUACAGUAACACAAAACUGACUAACAUAGCACACGUGGAAAAGAGGAAGGUACAAAGUAGCUAAACACAUUUUAAGAAGCUAAUUCUCAUAAAGAAUCAGUCCAUAAAAGGAGGAAGGUGUCAGUCCUUCUUAAAGGCCGUACCUCCCACCACUGCUACAUUGACAACCAAAUUUCAGCACAAGUUUGGGAAAUGACCAACCACAUCCAAACUAUAGCACCACCUUCUUUUGGCCUCCCUGAAGGAUUCAUUCUGUUCAUUUGCUUCCACAAAGUCAGGUUUCACCCUUGCAGCAGUUAUGUCAGUCAAUUCUGACACCUGCUAAAAUGGUCAGGAAGGCUUUAUUUAGGAUUAUCGCAAAAGGAGUCGCGAUUAUCAUGAGAGGGGAGAGUGAGCCCCCUCCAAAAACAAGAAGGACAAGUGGAAACUUCCAGCCAAUGAGCAGGGCUAAGGGGAGAGCAGAUGAAAAACGACGAAGAAGAGACCUGGAGAAUGGGAGGUUUCUUGCUAAACCAAUUGAACAACAUUCUCUGGAUGGCAGACAGGGGCAAUCAGGGAGUGAGUGGGGAUGAAGCAUUUGAUCCCUUACGAGGAGGGUGAUCAUAUAUCAAGGGGCAGGGAACGCCUACCAGACAAACUUAGCGGGAUUAUAGCAAAGAGUGGGUGGUCCAGGCCCAGUAAGGGCAGAAGAGGAGCCCAGUGCGUGAUCUAAGUUCCAGACCUGGCUGAGGAGAGAGCAGAGAGAAGCCCAACUAAGGUUGUCAGUGCCACUGCUCUAUGUUUAUGUAUUUGUGUGGCCGUGAAAUUCUGUCUUCAUUUCUACACCGUGAGCUCCUUGUUCACAGGGCCCUUCUGCCUCUGCUUACCAUGUGCUAUGAUCUGGGCGUGGUUUCAUGUGCUGAAAGACUGGUAUAUUAUGGGAUACCAGCAUAGGGUGUUAAAAGACGGUGGAGCCUUUAAGAGGUGGGGCCUAGUAGAAGGUAAUUGCAUCAUGGGGGACACCACCUCAGCAGGAUUAAUGCGUGUCUUGCAGGAAGGAGUUGGUUAGAGCUCCAGGAAACGGGUUGGUUACCACAAGCUGAAGAAACCCUUCAGCUUUCUCUUCUUGCUCUCUUACUUCUGCCCUGACCAUGUACCAUCUCACUCUUGCACGUGUUUCCUCCAUGUGAUGCCACCCUUCAUGUUAUGAUGCAUCAAGAGGUCCUCACCAGAUGUAGUUGCUGGACCUUGAACUUUCAGCUUCCAAAGCGAUGAUCUAAAUCAACCUAUUUGCUUUAGAAGCUACCAGUUUCGGUUUUUUUGUUAUAGCAACAAAAAGAUAAAUUAAGACCUCAUGAUAUCCCAGCAUCUAUGCUGGAUUGGAGGCAUCAAAAGUGUUCUUCAAUACUGACUAUUGAUGUGAUGAAUUACAUUUUUUGAUUUCCUUAUGUUGAAUCAACCUUGCAUCCCUGGGAUGAAUCCUACUUGAUCAUGGUGCACAAUCUUUUUGAUAUGUAUUUGUAUUCAAUUUGAGAGAAUUUUAUUGAGAAUUUUUACAUCAAUGUUCAUUAGAAAUAUUGGUCUAAAGUUUUCUUUCUUUGAUGUGUCUUUGCCUGGUUUUGGAAUCAGGGUGAUAUUGGCCUCAUGGAAUGAGUUUGGAAGUGCUGCCUCUUUUUCUAUUUCCUGAAAUAAAUUGAAGAGUAUUGGUAUCAGUUCUUCUUUAAAGGUCUUGUAGAACUCUGGCUGUGUAACCGUCCAGUCCUAGGCUUUUCUUGGUUGGUAGGCAAAAUGUGGCAUAUAUACACAAUGGAAUAUUAUUCAGCAAUAAAAGAGAAUGAAAUCAUGGCAUUUGCAGGUAAAUAGAUGCAGUUGGAGAAGAUAAUGCUAAGUGAAGUUAGCUAGUGCCAAAAAAAAAAAAAAAAACAAAAACAAAUGGCGAAUGUUUUCUCUGAUAUAAGGUGACUGACUCAUAGUUGGGUAGGGAGAAGGAGCAUGGGAGGAAUUGAUGAACUCUAGAUAGGACAGAGGGGUGGGAGGGGAAGGGAGAUGGCAGGGAAUUAGCAAUGAUGGUGGAAUAUGACGGACAUCAUUAUCCAAAGUACAUGUAUGAAGACACGAAUUGAUGUGAACAUACUUUAUAUACAGAGAUAUGAAAAAAUUGUUCUAUAUGUGUAAUGAGAAUUGUGAUGCAUUUUGCUGUCAUGUAUUUAAAAAAUAAAACCAAUAAAAAAAUAAAGAUUAAAAAAAAUAAAAAAUAAAUCCGACUGACUAGAUGAAUAACGGAACACUGUAUACACCAAGCUAAGGGAAUGCCCUGGAAGAGAGGAAACAACCCACACUGUAGCUAAUUCCUUGCCUGCCUGCCGUUCCCCCUCUUCUUUGUUUCUGUUUGCUAAAUUGCACCUUUUCUCAUUUGGCUGCCUGUCUGGGAAUUCAGCUGGGGGAGCCGCGCAGUCAGACUGUUUGCUCCUGCAGUUCUGGCACUGACUCAGCAGCCCAGAGGCCACACAGAGCAAGGUCCCAGGAAGGGGUGUGCAGACGCAGCCGGCCUCCACUCCCUUGGCCCAGGCUGUCUGCUGUGCACAGGCCGCCCUCUGCCUGAGCUGUUCCUGUUCCCCCACCAGCCAGAAGCUAGAGGAGACCCAGGAGGGCAGGACAGCCAUCUAAUGGACUCUUUAUGCAGUCUGGGGGUGGGGAAGGCCUGUAGAAAUCUGAGGACUCCUCUUCUUAGAAAACCACCUCUUUAAAACCCAAAGAUGGAGAGAGGGCGGUUGUGCUCCCUUGUCUGGAUGCCUUCACUUCCCGUCCCUUUGACAGCGCUCCUCCCAGCCUGUCCCACCUAUGGGAACUUGUGGGCCUCCUUUUCUCGCUCUUGUGUUCCUUCCUGGAUUCUGCUUUCUCCAGGUCGGGGGCCCCACGCUCAGGGCUCAGAGCACCUCUCUGAACACUCACUCCUCGUGAUCCCCUCCUUAGGUGAUCUGACCCAGACAGCCCAAGGUCUGCGUGCAGCCCAGACCCUCCCCGGGACACCAACCGUGCAUAUUGCACAAGGCAGCUUCUAAGAUGGGCCCCCCCAGUCAGGCGCAGAGGCUCACCCCUGGAACCCCAGUGGCUCGGGAGAUUGAGGCAGGAGGAUCUAGAGUUCAAAGGCAGCCUUAGCAAUUUAGCGAGAUUCUAAGCAACUUGGGGAGACCCUGCUUCUAAAUAGAGGGCUGGGUUAAGCACUUCUGGGAAGAAGAAGAAGAAGGAGAAGGAGAAGAAAAAGAAAAAUCAGUCCUCAGGUCCCCUGUGCCUGGUGCUCAGCUAUUCAUGCAUCUUCUCCAGUGGGGGCUGGAUUGCUUCGGGAUGAGGCUUCUCUCUCUUGCUUGUUCACUCUGAUGGAAGCUGGUGUUGUGAGCUGCCCCAUGGAGAGGCCCACAUGGCAGGGGACUGAAGACAGUCUUCAGCCAACAGCUAGUAAGGACUUGGCACAAGCCAUGAGCCCGCAGCUGCCCACAGGAGCUCAGAAACAGCUCCUUCCCAGUAGAACCUUCAGAUAAGACAUGGCUCCAGAGGGCAGCCUGCUGUGGGACCCUGAGCCAGGCUGUUCAAGCUGAGCCCUGAGCAGAUAAGCUACGAGACAAUGGUCAGGCGUGCUCUGGGAAAGGGACCUGAGGUCAGGACCCAACCAGGCUUCACCCAGACUCCUGACCUGUAGAGACUGUGGGAUACUAACUGUGUGCUGUUUUAAGCCACUACAUUUAUGGGUAAUUUAUCACACGGUAAUAGGUCGUCGGUGCUACCUCCGACUACCUGCUCUACGUGGAUGGCUAGGGGACACCUCACUGCUAAACCAAAUCUCCAUUUCCUGUCAUAAGACCAGAGGGAAGAAAGAAGAGAAACACAGACACAAGUGGAAUCGCUAUGCUGCAGACAGUGAGGGGGGCUCUGCAGACCCUCCUGGUGACAGAUCUCAGAGGAGGAAAUAGCUCGUGUUGGGAGUCAGAAAACAAAAUCUGUCUGGGGUGCCAGCAUGGGCACCCCAACUCUGGGGAAAUCUGGGUCAAACCUCCUGCUGAUUAUCUGGCUACAUCACGUGGACUGGUCAGUACGGGUAACUGUGAGGGUCCCUGCACAGAUGCUGUCCACUGGGUGCACAGACAGCCUGAGCCGAGAAAGAAAGGAGGUGGCCCCCAUGACACAGAGUCACCAAAACAGCACCAGGUGCACAUUUCAACCUUUAAAAAGAAUAAAUAAACCUAAUGUUCAGUCACCUGUUUAAACACUUCUUUGAUGAGAAUGCGACUGAACACUCACAAAGGUAAGGAAUGCUCCCUGCUUAGAUGAGCGAUUCUGGAAUUCACUCCUGGGAUCCCUCAAUAAAAAAUGGCAAAAUUUUAGCUCGUCCCCAGCACACCUCCAUUCUGGGCAGACUCUAGGGAGAGUCCCAAAUCUGAAAACUAGGACGCAAUCUCCUUCUGUCUGUUUUUUGUUUUCCUAACACUUUAUCAUGAGAUCAUGUUUUGUAAACCGAAGUCUGUGACCUCACUCUAUUAGCUCACUUGAGCCUCCCACAACCCAUGAAAGAAAGAGAAUCCAUGACUUCGCGGCCACUUUAAGUGGAAACUAAAGCUCAGCAAGGUGAGUGGCCUGCCUAAGAUCACGCGGCUGGUUUGUUCUGGAAUCAGGUUCCUGACAGCUAAGCCAGGUGUUCACUUGUUCUUUUGCAAAGGAGGCCCCGGGGUGACCUUGAGCUGUAUCCACCCCAGGUUUCCCCCAGCAUGACAGAGAUCAAAACUGUCCACACCAUGUUUAUCAGACCUCUCAGCCUUGAAGGACCUCCUGAGAUGAACGUGCCCUGGGAGCAGAGGAAGACAUAAGGGUCCUGCUUGUGGUGGUCAGAGGGAAGAGAACCCCCCCCCGCAGGACCUCGUGGUGGACAGUGGACUUUUCUCCAGCGCCAGUGUUUCAGGGGCCUGAAAGAUGUGUGCACACAGAGUGGAGCCCAAGGGGAUGAGUGCAAAAGGCAGCGAGGAACUUCCCCUGUGGCAGAGCAGAGGUCUGGGGAGCCUCGGCACCUCAGGAGUCCCAGGGUCUCAGGUGCAGCACUGGCGAUGGGUAACGGGAGGUGGCAUUGGAGGUUACAGUGUUGUGUUCACAGACACCUCAGCCACACCUGGAGGCUGACUGUGGACCUCACACGCUCGCCAUGGCAACAAGAUGAAGCUGUUGGCCUCACCGAUGAAGCAUCCCGUGGUCUACAGAUCUUUGUGAGAAUGGGUGAGUUCCAUGGGGGGCCGGGAGGGGGAGAGACAACCAAGGAUGCUGAGUUUGGGGUCCAGUUUGUUGCACAGGGAAAGGGAGUCGGCAUCCACAGGAAGGCAGAGGGAGAACCAAGAAAAAAAAAAUCUUCCUAGGUUUCCAUAAACUCCGCAAGGACUUUAGACACUCAAGCUAUAGAACUGGAGAUUUGGGACGAUCCUAUUUCAAAAUCCAAGGAGGUCCCCAAGGACUCUGAUUAUGAAAUGAAGUUCCAGGGCUUGUCCAGGUAAUCCAACUCCCAUUCCAGGGUUCUCUUUAUCUGUCAUGAUCUUCCAAGUUACACCAGAUCACUCAACUCGGAGAACUCCCCAGCUGUCUGGAGGUGACAGCCUGACAUUCACUUGACAGACACCCAGCUCUCCCCACCCCCUCUGCCUCAGCUGGAUUUUUUCUAAAUGCCAGUUUCUUCCUGUCCUGCGGAUGUUUACUGAGUCUAAAGGAAUCUUCAUUUCCUAAAGGUUUGCUCUCGUAAUACGUGAAAUGACAGGUCUUUGCAAAUCCAUCCCUGGUUUAUUGAUUCUGACAGCAUGCUCCAAGGGACAUGGAGUGAGCGCAGACUUCCUGUGUGGAGACCACCCAGGAGCUGCAGGGAGGUUCUCUGGCUGUGCCUUCCUAGAAGGCACCGGGGACUUCACCAUUAAGGGGCAGCAGGCUACUCAUUCAUUUGCUGGCAGCUAAUCCAACAGCUGAGAUCUGAGCUGAAGAUCUAUACCGGAUGGAGGCUGCAAGGUCCCUGCUCAAACGUCCCUGAAGUGAUGGAGAAUGGAGACCAGCGCUAAUCACCCUUUCUAAGCAGAACCAUUCUCAGCUGCCAUGCAUGACUUCCUUCUCCACCGGUUCAUGAAGGGCAUCAUGUGCCAAGUGCUGAGCUGUGUGCUUGGAAUUCACUGGUGAGAGAGAUCAGCCCAUGGCCCUGCCCUCUGGACAGAAAUGGGGGAAGACAGACCAAUAAACACUUAGACUGCAGUGUCCAGUCAAACCUGGUCAUAAACCCCAACGACACAAUCCCAAAUGGAAUAAUCCCAAAUGUUGAAAUCCUAAAAAUCAAUUCCCAUUGAGGUGGGAAGCUCUGUAAGAAGGGUGGAGCGCUGAAUCUUGGAGGAGGGAUUAGUGCACCUUCUGUUGGACACAGGAUAGCUGUCUCUUGGAGUUGAACAAAUACCUAGCAACCCAGAAAGCUUUAUUUUGAGGGUGUUUGCAAGGGAGUUUCCAGAAGGGGGAUUAGUUUGUAAAUCUGAGCAGACCAGGUGGGGAAGGUCUGCCACAUGGAACAGGAGUGUGAACGUGUUCUCUCAGGAGAGAGCCAUUGAAAGUAAAAAUAGUAAUGCAAGGCUUCAGAAUAUAAUUAAUGUGACUGCAAAAGCCACCUCCGGCCUCCUGCAAGGACCCCCUCCAUACACCUGCCCCUCAUCUAUCCCUGAGAUACACUUUUUCAAAUGUCAAGCUUUCUUUUUUUGUUUUGGGGGAGAAUAUUCUGUUUUGUUUCCUUUUUCUCUUCCUUUUUCUUUUCUUUUUCUUUUUUUAGUUUUUUUCCCACGAAUUUUUAAAUUGUUAGUAUUAAAUUGUUAGUAUCAUUUUUCACAAUUCACUAUAUGAUAUAUAUGAUAUAUUAUAUAUAAUGAUAUAUAUAAUAUUAUAUACAUAUAUAAUCUUUAAAAUAUCUUUGCAUCAUUUCAAAUACUGGCCAUGUAAAUUGCAUAAAGACUUUUAGAGAGCUCUAGAUUUAUUUUUGUGCAUUUUUGUGAAGGUGCAUUACCACAACAUCACCUUUAUGGGUAAGCAGGAUGCAUGUAUGUGAAAAUGUUGAAUUAUCCUCAGCAAAGGAGGGGAUGUCCUUUUCACACACACACAUUUAUGGAACUUAAAUUCUGGAGGUCUUGGCUCUUUGGACAACUCCAUAUAGAGUGGUGACCCAUCCUGGCUGGGGGCCAAUCUCAUCAAAAAUCUCAGGUUGCUCAACAUAGGAUUUUAUAUGACCACAGUUAUAAAGCUGGAGACACACAAUUACCACCCUAGUGAUAUGUGUCUGUAUAUUUCAAUUUUGGACCUAUUUAUUUGUAAAUACAUUUCAUCUGCCCAUAUAUUGUAUAUACCUACGUGACUGUUGUUAGAAUACCUGUGCUUGCAAAAAUACAUUAUUAUUGUGUAAAGUGGCCUAUAAAGUGCUCUGUUAGGUUUUUAUAGGCUUCUCAAAUAAAUUCCCUCUUAAAAUCUAAAUAAAUGUCUUUUAAAUAUUUUUUAAAUUAUUCUUUCUAGAUAGUAUGUAUUUGGGGAUUUUGAUCUUUGGGGAUUUCAAAAUUCAGGACUACGGUGAUUAGGAUUGCAGAGUAUGGCUCAAACCAAUCUAGAAAAACCCCAAUGCAUGUUCUCUUGGGAAACUUUAUACCAAGAUAGUGCAUGAGUGUGUAUGUGUGUGUGUGUGUGUGUGUGUGUGUAAAAGAGAAAAAGUGUAUGUGUGUGUAAGAGAGAGUGUAUGUGUGUGUGUAUGUGUGUGUGUGCGUGUGUGCACUUCAAAUGAGAUAUGAAUUCAAAAGGAAGAGGAAGCUGAUUAUCCAAAGUGAGAUGAUCAAAAAUAAACAGGCUCAUGAUGCGGCUAGGGAGGCCACAUCAUUAACCAGAAAUAUUCAGAACUGGCAGUUAAGGACGCUCGGAGGCAACACUCACCAGCAAGACGAUAGAAAGAGGCUGGGCACUAACUUGUGCCUUUGAGAGGGAGACUGGGGACUGUCUUCCCUGAGGAGGUCGAAGGGCUGCCCUGAUGACGGGUCCCUACUCAGGGGCCAGGAUCUGGAGAAACCAGACAGGUCCAAGGGCCUCCUGCACACGCAGGGACUCAGGCUCAACCUGGAGAGUGAACCUGAACGUGCAACAAAGGAGCAAAACCAAGCAGAGGAUGAGAGCACGCUGGGUGUGCAAGAGCCGGCCCUGAGCCUACACCCCAGCUGUGCUGGUCAUUCGCACCCCACGCCCAGUCUGUGCUCCAGACCACCACGUUCUGCCUCAGGACAGCUCCAGGACCUGAACCCCUGCCAUAGGCACCUGCUGCCGCAGUCUGGCUGGGCGCACAAUCACGAGCCACCACACAGCUUGCAGAUUCAAACAGCAACUCUUUAUUCCCGAACUCACACCAGCCAUCUACAAUCACGUUCUGGGGAAAUCCACGUCCUCUGCCCAAAUCCACCUCCACUGGGCUUCUAUCUCCCAAAAAAUACUGUCUGAAUCCCGUGAGAACUCAAGGGGAACUCAGGCAGCAGGAUACGCCCUAUUCCCAGCAGGAAUAACCUUAAACCUUAAGCCUGGAACCUAAACCGGGAACACCCUAAUCUGCCUUGGUCCUUGAGCAAGGUCACCUACAUUCAAUGUCACUGCAACAUGUCAGCAACAUGGGGUACGCUGGCAAGGAAAUUGUCAUACCUACUUGGCUAAUGGCUCCCAGCAACCUGCCAAAGACCAAGUUCCUCCCCCAGCUCGCAGCCCCCACGGCCACCCUUAUUCCCAGUUUACAAAGAAAUUGCUGAAUCUCUUGUGAGCUAUCUAGCCACAAGAUUUUUGUUGUUGUUGUUUUGAGGUGCUUUUGGGAUUUUUUUUUUUUUACUGACCUUAACCAAGCACUUUCUCAACAACAAGAACAAAAUUCAAAUACUAAUGUAUUUGAUGAAUAUUUAUUAAGUGCCGUGAUGUACCAGGCACUCUUCUAGGAGCAGACAAUACAGAGGUGAACAAAAAAGAUCGUGUGACCUCUUGAAGUUUACUUUCUAGCUGGGAAAGAUUGGCCAAAAAUAAAAAUAAAAAACUUGUAAGAUGUAUGAUGUUAGGCAGAUGUAUGUUCUACUGAUAAAAUAAAACAGUUAAUGGAGAUGGAGAGUGUCACUAGGGGGUGGUGGAGUAUAAUUUCAUGAACAGAAGACAGGUGACCCUUUGCUGAGAGGGUGACACUGGAGCCACUACCUAGGGAAAGUGAGCCAAUUGAAUAUUUGGAGAAAGAAUGUCCCAGAGAGAGAGAAACAGGAUAUGCAAAGGCCCUGAGGUAGAGCUUACCUGACGUCUUGAGGCGCAAGAAGGGCAGUGAAGGUGAGUGGGUUUAGCAAGGGCAAAGAGACAAGGGGGGAAGUGGGUGUGCAGACCACAUGAGUUCUGGAUGGUCCUGGCAACAUCAGCAUCCUUUGAAAGCUUGGUUGAAAUGCAGAGUCCUAGGUUCUACCCCAGAGGCACCAAGGCAGAGCUGCAUCUUCCCAAGAUCUUGGAAAGAUCUUGGCUCAUAGGUAGUUGGAAGUUCACACAGCCUGAAGGGCCCAUGGUGAGGCCUCUGCUAUUGGCUUUGAGCAGCGAGCGAGGUGGGAUACCAAUGGAGACCUCGAGCACUGGAGGAACAUGACCUGAGGAUCCCCCAGCUGGUGUGAAGAGAAUAAGCUGAAAGGGAAGAAGAGCGGACACUGGGAGCCAGUUAGAAGUCUGUCACUUGGUGAAAGGUGGCAACCUACAUGUAGAGGAGGUGGUAAGGAGCGAUGAAGUUUGGAUAUGUUUGAAGGUAAGAUUGGCAGGACCUGCUGAUGGAUUGGGGGGGGGUGUGUGAGGUGAAGAGAAGACUUGGGGGUGACCCAGGGUCUCAGGCCAAGCACUCACUGUGCGCCAGCCACCGUGCUUUUACUUCCAUUGCUGCUUCUAAUCCUUGCAAAGGCCUUCAGAGAUCCACUAUUGAGACUCCCAGGGCCAAGUCACAAGCCCAGGUGUGCUGCCUCCAAUGACCAAGUUCCUCCCCCAGCUCACAUCCCCCACGGCCACCCUUCCCCAGGCACCAUGCUGGAGGGAUGAAGGCUUACAGCUGGACGGGCUUCACAGUAGGUCACCUGUGUGGCCUUGGGCGAGUUACCUAUCUUCUGGGAGCUCGGCUUCUCAUCCAUAAAAUGGGUCUAUUAAUACUUUAUAGGAUGGCAACGUGAGCAAGGUACCAAAUCUCAAAUAAUGGGCCAAGGCUGUUCAUCUGUCUCCAAGCCCCUCUGGGGCUUUGGGCCGACUGUAUUGGGUUUCUUAAAAGGCUUAUGCCUCGCACAGAUAUACACACACCUGUGUGCAAAGAACACAAGGAAGAGGAAGAGACGCCAAAGGUCAGAAACAGAGCUGCACAAAUUGAAAACAUGACCAAGAAGAAGAGAAGGUGGCCCCUGAGCAAGAGAGCAAAGAGGAGACUCAGGACAUGGACACACAGCCAGCCAGGAAGAUAGGAGUGGAAUGACACAGCCAGAGGGGCAAGCACCUCCCAGCGAAAGGUGCUAGUGGCUUCAGGCUUAGCAAGGCCCUUCGCCAGUGGCUGUGGCUUUUUGGACUCCCUGGAGUUCCCAGGGGACCUCAGUGCUUGUCCUCUUUGCAUUUUGCAACUCUGAUUCUCCUAGCAACCAGGUAAAGAUGGGCUAUUGUGCAGCUUCAUAAGGUGUCACAGCUGUCCUGGGGCUCUGUGUGGACUAUGGCGCAUGGCACCGAGAUGAGGGGAUGGGUUUGUGAACUCCCUGAAGCACCCCCUCAGGGAUUGACCGCAGGAUGCAGGUGCACCUCCCCCUCAGGCUCUGCCUAAGAUCCCACCCAGCACCUGAGAUGGGUGUGACUUGCAAAGACGUCCAUCAAUCUGCUGACCACAAGACAUCAGGAUGCAAGACUCUGCCCUUGAAACCGUGUCCCUGCCUUUGAUGUCCCUUAGACAAUGAACUCACAGUCCCUCUUUCCAGCAUGAAAGUUUGACCCUUAAAGUCAAGAGCCGUCCUGCUCCACUUUCUGGAUACUACUUUCUGUGUUGUGUGAUUUUUCACCGCCGCCUUCUUAGCUUAAUGUCGCAACCAGCCCGUUUAAGCCCAGUUUGUCUGGUCUGCACGGGUCGUGGUCCAAAACAAGGCUUUGGGGUUUUGUUUGGUUUUUGGAGUUGUUUUGGGGUUUUUAUUAUUUUACUCCCAACCAAGAUACUCUAAAUGACUGUCUGCACAAAUAUUCAAUUGCUUACUUUAGCCACAUCAAGACCCAUUCACUGGCAGGUUGGAGACUGAGAUUCUCAAGGGAAAGGGUGAAUCAUCCCUUCACCUGGGGGUCUCCCUCUCACAGUCAUGAAUUUCCCACAGAAAUGCAAGGACAGAUGUUGAAGCUAAAAUUGAACACAGGUGCAUUGGAGCUGUGCUGAGAAGACAAGGAAAUGAGGAGUGUGACGUUCUCCGCUCUCCAGAGUGAAUGUCGAGCCGACUGCAUUCCCUGCUGAUGGAAAGACAGUGUCACUGUCACCAUUGAAGGACAGAAAUGUCAGGCAGGAAAGGUACAGGGAAGAACUCUCAGCUCUAGGCUACCCCAUUCCCCCACCCCAUUAUCACUGGUCCCUCUAAAACCUGCCCAAGUGAAUGGAGACAGACAUGCUCUGGGGUGGAGGCUGACCUUCGGGUAUUGGUCACCCUGGCUUCAAAGUGAAUUCACUGGGAAAACGGCCACUAAUGCAGAGUAGGGUUUCCUCUCAGGAAAAUCACUCCACACAUCUUUGCUAAUUUUAGGUUUUCCCUUUCCAGUAACCACUUCUUGCCCUAGGGGUUUUUAUUUUUCAAGCAGAUCAGCAUUAAUUUCCCAAGGAACACUGUAAUCAUAAGAAAUGCUAAAAAGUGGAGUGUUCUGAUGACAUCUGGCCUCGUUCCUUCUCCUGAACAUCGUCUUAUGAAAAUGUCCAACAGCCAAGAACCAAAUUGAAUAGAAGCUGGUCUCCUCGUUACAACACCGGUGUUCAUUACCAAGUGCCUUUCUCACCUAGGCAUGAGGCCCCCAUGUCGGACAGAUGACUGCUUUGUAAACUAUAAUAUUUAUAUUAGAACGUAAUUGUUGAGUUCUUAUGUCAAGACCUACAGAGGGUCUGAGAUUUUCCCCCAUCUUUGAGCCACCAGGUUUCACUUUGCUGGCACAAGACACGAGGCUCCUGGAUCUGAGAUGAAAAACUUCCACACAACACCCUCACAUCACAGAGUGUCAGCAUAUUUGUGCCAGUGUCUGGCCACAAAUCCCACAGCAUGACAGGACACGACAGACCUUGAUGGGUACUGCCCACGCAGACACAGAUGGGGGCGCACAGUAGCUGAAGGACUCAGGGUCAAGGGCCAGCACUUUGGAGUGAACAGCAAACAUGGUAGGAAGCAGCAAACAAACUGUUCUGCCUCCUGCCCCAGAGGAGUCACACUGUGGGCAUCUUGACCUACUUAGAUGUCGGUGUGACUAGCUUGGACGCUGCUCAGCAUCAGAUGGGUGAACCCUGCAGUCCAGCACCCGCAGCCAGAGCAUGUAGGGAGGCUCAGUGUCCACACAUUUGCCCUGCCAACAUCUUCAUUCAUCCCCGUGUUCUCUUCUCCAAUCAUGCCAUUGUAAGAGACCUUUUCUUAUAAUGUCCAAGUUACUUCACAGGCAACUAAAAAUCUGGCCUGAUAACCAUAUCUCCCAGGCAACACAUCUCUCUUAUAAAAAAAAAAAAAAAAACUUCUCGGAAGAGAAAAUUCAAUUAAAUAUAAAAUCAAGGCUUUUCCAGCAUUCUCAUGUGUUUGGUUUAAGCUGACUUCAGUUACAGAGUCACUGAAGCCAAGAAAGGUACUUGUUUGGGGGAGGGAUCUCUAUGCUCUGUUGUUCUAUGUGGCUCUUGAAGCUGAUGACUAACAAAUGCGUUGGGUGGUGUGUUGGGGUAGCUCUCAACAACAAAUGCUCCUAAAAAUGUCAUUGAACAUUCUUCCUUUAAGCACUGGUGGAUCUCGGGCCACUUGGAGGUGCACAGUAUGGGUGUCUGUGAUACAGGGUAGCAGUUCCCUAUGGAACUUUUAUUUUCUGUUGAUGCUUUGGCAUCUGGGGACUUGCAGACCCUAGAAGUACCUCCCUUCCCAGAGGUAGCCAAGUCCUAGAGAGAGCAACAAAAACUCUUCCAGGAACUUUUUUUUUUUUCAAAUGAAAACUAAUUCUAGGAUCUCACCCCAACUGCCUGCUCUAUUGGGUUUUCACUUUCAGGGCUACCAUCUGCCUGUCCUAAUUAACCCAGGACCCGAUAUUAGAAAACUACAGACAGUCCCUGUGCUCCAGGGCCCACCGUGUUCACACAAGCCAAUCCUAAGCCCACUUGGCUUGCCUUGCUUGGUCCUCUCUUGGAAACCACGAUGAAAACUCUUGCUCGCAGCUCCUCCGUUUCCCUCUGCCUCUGAAUGAUCCAAUGCGACGACCUCAGGACUGCUCCUGGGGGUCCACAACACAUAGCUUGCCCCUUCCUGUUGGGAACCGUGAACAGCAACUGUCUUCUCAAUAGCAGUCAUUCCUGAUCUGUGGCCUUUCUUUUUUCUUUCCAUUUUCCCAUUAACACAGGCAAUAGCAUGUCUACUGAGGAGAGGUCUUUGGGUGAGAGGAGAGAGAAUCCAGGUUUGUUGUAGUAGGAUCUGCUCUGUCAGUGCAACAGUGUGGUUUUUUUGCUCAUUUAAUAUUGAUACUGAGAUUCAAACACUGUACCAGCUGCCCACCUGACAUCCCUGCUGGGACGUCUCAUAGGUAUCUCUAAUUGCACUGUCCCUAACUGAACCCUAGAGCUCUCCUCCUCAGAGGACAUGCACUCACGCAUGCGCGCACUCACACAUGCACGCACGCACACACACACACACACACACCCCACAAACUAUUUUUCCCCACCUCCAUACACGGCUUCUUCAUCCAUUAAAUGGCUCAUUCUAGAAAAAUUGCUGUCUUCCUUGAUAUUCUCUUCCCUUUCAAUCCAUCACCCGGCCGUUGAGACAUCUCUCCAUGCUCCCAUUUCUCUGCACCUCUACUCACCUCGUUCUAAGCCAGGGCCAUUGCUAGCCUGGACUAUUUCAAGAGCCUCCUCAUCCAUUUCUCCAGAUGAUAACCCAAAACACCUUUUUAGACAUUAUAGAUCACACACCCUGUCUCCCUUGCUUCAGUUCUCCUUGGAACAGAAUCCAUAACCCUUUCUGUGGGAGAUCUGGUCCCUUCACCUCUUCCAUCAACCCUCACCCCUUACCCUUGGCUCCGUACCCUCCAGCCACCCCGUGUUUCUGAGCUCCCUUCCUGCCUUUCUCCACACACUUGGCCCAUGUGGUAGACAUUACUAGAACUCACCCAGACCCCUGAUUCUUUUUUAUUCCAGGUUCACGUCUCCCUUGGAAUUAGGCCUGGUGUGAGGUGUGCGUUGGUUGGAGAAAUGUCAGUGGAAGGGACGCGUGUCACCUCCCAGCGGAGGCAUCUAAGAGCCGCCUGCAUUUCUCCACACUCUGUUCCCUGCUGUCGUGCUGCUGGAAGACAAGUUAACAUGGACGUGCUGCGAGAUCAAAGCCUCCUGGAAUGCUGAGCCGCAUAUGGAGGGCAGCUGCCGGGAGGAAUUUCCCAGACCCUCAGCCCACUAAUGUGCACGAGAAGUAAAAGAUGUUUUUUUUUUUUUUUUCAUGUUGAGCCACUGAGACUUGGGGGUCGGCUGUUACUAUCUGUUGUGACUAACCCAGCCUGGCUGACAGAUUCUCAUUCUUCCAGAAAAGUACCCAUCCCUGUCUCAGCCUUACAGGGCCACAGACACACACCAUGACAUGCACAUCCACAAACCCACUUACACACAACCACGUCUCUGAAUUCAGCCUCCUUGUUAUUCUUUAGUGUUCUUUGUCCUAUCCUUCAUAGCCCUUCUAUACUGCAAUCUAUAAUUAUAUGUUUAUUUUAUAUGUAUUUGUUCAUUAUGUGCUUUGCCCAGUAGGCUGUAAGCACCACCUGAAUAGGGACCAUGUCUGACUCAUAUGCCAGAGAGCCCCACUAAGCCCAGGCACAGAGCUGGUUGCAUCACAGCAACUUAUACAGUACUCCUUGAAAGAAAGAAAGAGAGAGAGAGAGAAAGAACAAAUGAACAGGCACUGGGAGUCAAGGGGUGCUACCUUUGGUGGCCAAAGCAGGGACACGGGGUGAGGCUGGGACUGAGCUGGGGGAAAGGCCACGAGAGAUUGGAAGUGCAGAAAGCCUGGUGUUCCUCCUCCCACCGCGUGAGGUACCCCCAUCUGACGUCCACUUUCUGCCUUUUCUUCUCAAUUCCAGUAGCAAUUCCUCGUGUGUUGGAUAAAGGGCCUGGGGGCGGGGCAUGCUGCAAGAAGUCACGAGUGAUGGGUCUGUCCCCCAUUCUGGUUGACCCUGAACAGAGACCUAGGGACAUCUGCAGAUGCCAAGAGGAAAAUGAGAAUUCAAAAGAGCGAGGGGAAGAUGGGGAUGUGUAAAAGGGGCAGGGCCAUCCUCGGGGCCUUUCCCUGACUCUUUCCUUGUCUCCACAUCCAGAAUUGUUCCCUGUGGAGGAAAAGGGAGCAGGAGAAAGAAAAGAGCCUCAGGGAAAGAGCUUACUGUUCAUUUCUUCACCACGUGCCCCUCCAGCCGGCCUGUGCCGCAUGCCCUCCAUGGUGCGAGUGCUGGGGAGACCAUGGACACCAAAAGCACCCCCUGUCUUUGCCCCAGGGAGGUCUUGUGGCUGCUGGUCAUCUGUGUUGUGUGGGGAGGGCUUCCUGAGGCACCUCCCCUGGUGCCUGUGUGGAGGGGGUCCUGGCUGCCCUGCAGGAGGAAAUUUGGAAUAGUGACUCUGGUUCCUCCAGUGCUAAUUCCACGAGGUAACAUGGCAUUGCACCACUUUUUAUCUUUUCCAACAGGACAUGUAAAGGGCAGGGGUGGAGUUAGUACAUGAGUGGAAAAUCCGAGUUAAGUCCCCUUCCUUUCCCUUUUUGUCUUUGCAGGGCUUUGUCUUCUGUGUGCCUGGUACAUGCUGCUCAGCAACAUUCACAUGGGCCCGUGAGCCAAGCGUGUCGGGAGCUGCUAGCUCCAUUUUUGGCCCAAUUUUUGGAUUUAAAUGCAGGUACCAUCUUCAAGGACCUUCCAGAAGAAGAUUAAAAAGAAAAUACAUCAGAAACACCACGUACAUCCCCCGUGGCAGCUCUGGUGAUCAUGCUCUUAUUCAGAGAUACACGUUGUUUUGGAGAUGGGAAAAGGCUGAGCUGGAAAGAAACUGGGUUCAUAUUGGAAUUCACUGUCUACAUAAAUGUUUAUGAAAGUUUAAUUCUGCAAGCCAAGCUCGAAGCAUAUUGUCUACUACUAACAAUCGUACUCUAAAGUUUCAUAAGAUUCUGAAAAUUGGGUUUUUUUCUGCCUUCCCCACAACAACCCAGCUCCAAGAGAAGAACAUGGCUACCGGGGGGAUUGGGUGGGGAGGGAAGCUGGCUUCUGCAACUGGAGAAUGAACGAAAACAGCUUGGAGGAGGAGCCCAGACUCACAAGGGAGAGUGAGAUAAACAUCCAGCAGCGUCUUGGCAGCGAGGAGUACAGGACAUCUGCUCCGGGGAUGUUGACACUUAUCUAAGGGCUGGGCAGGAACCAGCAAAGUCCAACCUGCAGGAACCUAACUGGUCUUAACCUGGGCUUUUGAGAUCAAAAGCAUGGCUCGUGCCACAUCAAAGGUACCACCAUGUUCAGCCCAGAAGCUCCUGCUGUAGUACUGUGGCCAUCGAUAGCUUUGUUCCCAGAACUCUUUGGCAGAGUUGGCAUCCUUCACCGAGGUGCUGAAAGCUCAGGAAAGCCCCCUGCAUGUGACCCUCUGAAGAAUGUUCACUUUCUGAGACAGCUUACCUCCCACCAAUUAGGAUGCAAGGAUUUAUAGCAUACCUUCCCAGAGAGGUUCAGAAACCUUGGAGAUACUGACUCAGUUUCUAGCACAGUCAGCUAGGUGAUGAUAGAGAACAACCUACAAGAGAAGUUACGCUUUUCUCUCCAGCUGCUAGAACCAUGGUCAAUGCAAAAUGUAAAAUGCUGGAUUCUGCUAACUUUUGGAAGGGAGCAAGGAAAAAAUGGACACAUAUCUAAUCCUUUGUACUUGCCUUUCCCCCUACCCUACUCCAGAGGGGAAAAGCCUUCUGCCACAUCAAAAUCAACUCCUUAAUUGAGUUAAUACCUGCACUAUGGGGGCCUAGAUUGGGUGCUGGGUGAGAUACAAAGUUGCAUUGGCUAUGGGUACGACCUCAAGAAGCCAAAGUCCAGUGGGCCAGACAGACUGGGGACAUAAUCAUUACCAAUACCAGGCAGAAGUGAUAGUUAAAACACUAACUAAGGUAAUUUAGAGGAAAGAAAGAUUUAUAGAUAAGACAACAGUUAAAUAUGAAUCUCAGAUAAUACUGCAUAACUUUUUAGUAUGUCACAAAUAUUACUUGAGAUACCAGUCCCAAGGGGGGGCUGGUUCCAGGACUCCCCAAGGAUACCAAAAUCUGUGGGUGCUCAAAUCCUUUGUAUAAAAUGGUGUAACAUCUGCAUAGAUCCUACACUCAUCUUUCCGUAUACUUCAAAUGAUCUCUGGAUUACUUAUACUACUAGAAUAUAAAUGCAAUGCAAAUAAUUACUGCAUUGUGUAGGGAAUAAUGACAAGAAAAAAAAAUCUAUACAUGUUCAGUACAGAGACAACCAUCACCAACCCAGCCACCUUCUCAACAUUUGUAGUUAGGUGACUCCUAGGAUACAGAAUGCAUGGUUGCCGUGGGCCAACUGUAUUUAUACUAAAAAGUCUACAUUGUUUAUGUGAUAUUCAAGUGUAACAGGGUGUCCUGGGUUUGUAAUGUGCUAAGUCAGUUCACCCUAUCUAUAGAGGGCUUUAUGGUAUAAAUAAUAUUUCAUCUGUUUUAAAAAGACAAGUGAGACAGAGGCAGAAAAACCAUGGUUGCCACACACUCAGGAUGUUCCGGAUCUGCUGCAGAGACCUGCCUCUAUAUGCUCACAAAGAAAAUCCUUUGCAGAUUUACAAAAGGACCAGAAAUUUGAUUUCUUCAUGGCCUGCAAGGAGCUGGGAGGCGGGUCCCGGCAGCAGUAGGGAUGUGCUGGGUUAUGCUGGGAUAACAAGCCAUCCCCAGGGUCGGCAGUUCACCGUCCUCACUCCAGAUCUGGACUGAUGAAAAGGCAAAAGAGACAUGAAGAGGAGGCCACCACCUAGGACAUUCCCAGUUACCAUGGCAAACGAAAAGAAUGCUGCCAAUCAAGGCACAGGUUUUUCAAGUGCACACUCAGAAGUGACACCAAAACAUGCCCAAGUUCAACAAAACCACAAAAUGCAAUUCUGCCCCAUGCCUGGGAGCACAAAAACACACCAAUCUUUGGUGACAACAUGAUAGCCUACUUCACUCAGCUCUCACUUCCAUUGAACCAACAACCUGUCUUCAAAACACCAGGGAACCCCCAGCACCAGGGAUUCCCCAAUGUCAGGAGCUCGCAAUGCUAAGGGCUUCCCAAUGCCAGGGGCCUCCAGUGAGAGGGAUCCCCAGUACCACCCCCACCCCAGCCAGAGAUCCCUAGAUGCUAGGGGAUCCUUAGUGCCAGGAUCCCUCAAUAACAGGGACCCAAGUGCCAGUUUCCUAAUGCCAAGAGUUUCUCCAUGUCAGGAUCCCAAUGCUAUACCCCCAGUGUCAGGGUCCCCAAUGCAAAGGACACCUUCUCCCUGUGUGCUCUAGGUGCUCUGGAAGAGGCCUCUAGUUCAAGGCCAUUUCAUCCAGGCACAGGGAGCAACUGGGUCUACUCUUGUGCCUUUUCCAACAACACCCAUCCUCCUGGGAGGAUAAGAAAAUCAGUAGUGGCGAGAACACACGGAUGGAGGCGCCUGGGGAUUUGGGCACCAUAGGCAGCCCUCAGCCCCAGCAGCUCACACUGGGGGCAACUCAGUGUCCAGCUCUGCUGAGGACAGUGCUGCCAGUCUCCUCCAGCCAGAGCCUCAGGGGGCAGGCCCAAGACGGACCCAGAGGGUCUCUGGCACCAAAAAGCAGGCAGCGUUGGAAAACCAGCAUGGGAAGGAAAUGGACACAC